GUCUAUGGUACGCUACUCUGAACAAGCCCAAUCUCGUCUGAUCUUGGAGGCUAAGCAGGGCCAGGCCUGGUUAGUACUUGGAUGGGAGACCACCUAGGAAGACCAGGUGCUGUAGGUG
rnacentral:rRNA from 1 species